CCCGGAGGCCCGCUCUUCCGCUGAGGCGCUGCCUGCACUGCCUGACCAGAGACUACCUGACCGCCGCUGCCGGAGGAAGCGCGUACGGCCAAUACGUUCCGCAGCAUGAUGGUUGAAAAAGUGCGUCCUUCAGUUCUGGCCGUGGCAGGGUAUGCAGAGAGAUUUGCUGCAUUUCUAAAACAUCUCUGAAAACAAGCUGCAUUUCAGAAUUGAAACCAGCAUUUCCUUUUCUACUUUAGAGUGCACGCAGGAAGCCAUUGGGCACACCAAGAUGACUACUAAUGUACAAUAGACCACUAUUCCAGGACGACUGAUUUGAAAAAUGCUCUUCUAGACUUACUCUCCACCCCACUACCACUCGGUCCACUUGAAGUAACAGCUGCACUUAGGAUGGCAGCUAAGAUUUCUGUGGAGAGCAAAAAGUGUUCAGUGGCCAGCCAGCUCAGAUGGCAACAGGAAGAUGCCAAUUAACCAAGGUGGGCAGCUGCUGACAUUCCUGGGCUUCAUAAGGAGGCCAUCCAACAGACUUGGGUGGUUUAUUUCUUGUUUUCAUUUCCCCUUGUCACUGUUGUUGUCUAGAGCCUUUACAUGUCAAUUCUGGACUGUCAAAACAGCCUCCUGACUAGUCUCCCUGCCAGCUGGCUCUCUGCUCCAGUCCAUCCUGCACACCUGGCCAGAUCAGUCUUCCUAAAAUGCUGCUUUGAGCUUGUCACUCUCCUGUCCCAAAUGUAUUA